rnacentral:rRNA from 1 species
AGGACGAACGCUGGCGGCGCGCUUAACACAUGCAAGUCGAGCGAGAACCGGGGCUUCGGCCCUGGGGACAGCGGCGAACGGGUGAGUAACACGUGGGUAAUCAACCCUCGGCACCGGGAUAGCCCGAGGAAACUCGGAUUAAUACCGGAUAGCCCCUCCGACUCUCGAGUCGGUCGGAAAAGGUAGCUUAGGCCUCUGGCCGGGGACGAGCCCGCGGCGGAUUAGCUUGUUGGUGGGGUAAUGGCCUACCAAGGCGACGAUCCGUAGCUGGUCUGAGAGGACGAUCAGCCACACUGGGACUGAGACACGGCCCAGACUCCUACGGGAGGCAGCAGUGGGGAAUCUUGCCCAAUGGGCGAAAGCCUGAGGCAGCGACGCCGCGUGAGGGAAGAAGGCCUUCGGGUUGUAAACCUCUUUCAGGAGGGACGAAGCUACUCGGGUGAAUAGCCCAGAGGGUGACGGUACCUCCAGAAGAAGCCCCGGCUAACUACGUGCCAGCAGCCGC